CAACGAUCGGGAAGCGCCCUCCUCCUCCCAGCGCUCCCGAGACGGAUUGGCAACACUCCUCCUCCCGGUUGUCAAUCAGGAUAGGCAGCGCCCGCCGGACCUCCUCCCCCGGCCGGGCGUUGCUU
rnacentral:sRNA from 1 species